GAUGAACGCUAGCUACAGGCUUAACACAUGCAAGUCGAGGGGUAACGAGAGGAAAGCUUGCUUUCCUUGUCGACGACCGGCGCACGGGUGAGUAACGCGUAUCCAACCUGCCCCCAACUAGGGAAUAACCUUGCGAAAGUAAGACUAAUACCCUAUAAUUUCCUCAGAUGCCAUCUGACGAGGAAUAAAGAUUUAUCGGUUGUGGAUGGGGAUGCGUCUGAUUAGCUUGUUGGCGGGGUAACGGCCCACCAAGGCAACGAUCAGUAGGGGUUCUGGGAGGAAGUUCCCCCACAUUGGAACUGAGACACGGUCCAAACUCCUACGGGAGGCAGCAGUGAGGAAUAUUGGUCAAUGGGCGGAAGCCUGAACCAGCCAAGUAGCGUGCAGGAUGACGGCCCUAUGGGUUGUAAACUGCUUUUAUACAGGAAUGAAGUUAGCCACGUGUGGUUAUUUGUAGGUACUGUAUGAAUAAGGACCGGCUAAUUCCGUGCCAGCAGCCGCAGUAACAC
rnacentral:rRNA from 1 species